rnacentral:rRNA from 1 species
UUGACCUCAAAUCAGGUAGGCCUACCCACUGAACUUAAGCAUAUCAAUAAGUGGAGGAAAAGAAACUAACAAGGAUUCCCCUAGUAACUGCGAGUGAAGAGGGAAGAGCUCAAAUUUAAAAUCUGGCAGUAUUUUGCUGUCUGAGU